rnacentral:rRNA from 1 species
UACGUAGGGUGCAAGCGUUGUCCGGAAUCAUUGGGCGUAAAGGGCGCGUAGGUGGCGCGGUAAGCGUGCGGUGAAAGCCUGGGGCUCAACCCCGGGUCGGCCGUGCGAACUGCUGGGCUUGAGCACUGUAGAGGCAGGCGGAAUUCCGGGUGUAGCGGUGGAAUGCGUAGAGAUCCGGAAGAACACCGGUGGCGAAGGCGGCCUGCUGGGCAGUUGCUGACACUGAGGCGCGACAGCGUGGGGAGCAAACAGG